GGAUGUGAAAGCAAUCUGACAGUGACAUCUGCCAUUCCAUUGUAUGCCAGGUUUGAUUCAAGGGAUUUGGCUCCUGGAAGGUGUCCAAUGAUUCCUUCACUGUUCUAUGCUGUCAUUCUGCCAUAGGCAUUGGCUGCAUCUUUGGGAUUUCACCUAAGUCAAAGAGGGUGAUACUCAGAUGAAGGAGAACCACACCAUAAUCCAGGCAAUAAGAUUUAGUUGAAAAUGCCUGCUAGAACUUAAAGCAAGUAUGCAGAGAUCACUUCUACUUUUUCUUCUGGUAAAAUAAUAAAUGCACUCCUAAGUGUAAGGAAAUUGUUCUGU
rnacentral:snRNA from 1 species